rnacentral:rRNA from 1 species
UACAGAGGUCUCAAGCGUUGUUCGGAUUCAUUGGGCGUAAAGGGUGCGUAGGUGGCGCUGUAAGUCGGGUGUGAAAUUUCGGAGCUUAACUCCGAAACUGCAUUCGAUACUGCGGUGCUUUGAGGACUGGAGAGGAGACUGGAAUUCAUGGUGUAGCAGUGAAAAUGCGUAGAUAUCUGGAGGAACACCGGUGGCGAAGGCGGCAUCCUGGACCGGUAUUGAACGCUGAGGCGCGAAAGCUAGGGGAGCAAACGGGG